rnacentral:rRNA from 1 species
AUUGAACGCUGGCGGCAGGCCUAACACAUGCAAGUCGAGCGGCAGCGGGAAAGUAGCUUGCUACUUUUGCCGGCGAGCGGCGGACGGGUGAGUAAUGCCUGGGAAAUUGCCCAGUCGAGGGGGGUAACAGUUGGAAACGACUGCUAAUACCGCAUACGCCCUACGGGGGAAAGCAGGGGACCUUCGGGCCUUGCGCGAUUGGAUAUGCCCAGGUGGGAUUAGCUAGUUGGUGAGGUAAUGGCUCACCAAGGAGACGAUCCCUAGCUGGUCUGAGAGGAUGAUCAGCCACACUGGAACUGAGAUACGGUCCAGACUCCUACGGGAGGCAGCAGUGGGGAAUAUUGCACAAUGGGGAAACCCUGAUGCAGCCAUGCCGCGUGUGUGAAGAAGGCCUUCGGGUUGUAAAGCACUUUCAGCGAGGAGGAAAGGUUGAUGCCUAAUACGUAUCAACUGUGACGUUACUCGCAGAAGAAGCACCGGCUAACUCCGUGCCAGCAGCAGCCGCGGUAA